UACGGGAGGCAGCAGUGGGGAAUAUUGCACAAUGGGCGCAAGCCUGAUGCAGCCAUGCCGCGUGUAUGAAGAAGGCCUUCGGGUUGUAAAGUACUUUCAGUCGUGAGGAAGGUGUUAAGGUUAAUAACCUUAGCAAUUGACGUUAGCGACAGAAGAAGCACCGGCUAACUCCGUGCCAGCAGCCGCGGUAAUACGGAGGGUGCGAGCGUUAAUCGGAAUUACUGGGCGUAAAGGGCACGCAGGCGGUUAAUUAAGUUGGAUGUGAAAUCCCCGGGCUUAACCUGGGAAUGGCAUUCAAGACUGGUUAGCUAGAGUCUUGUAGAGGGGGUAGAAUUCCGAUGUGUAGCGGUGAAAUGCGUAGAGAUGUGGAGGAAUACCGGUGGCGAAGGCGGCCCCUGGACAAAGACUGACGCUCAUGUGCGAAAGCGUGGGGAGCAAACGAGGGAUUAGAUACC
rnacentral:rRNA from 1 species